rnacentral:rRNA from 1 species
GCGAUCCCAGGUCAGUCGGGACUACCCGCUGAGUUU